UAACUCCAAUCCAACCACUCUAAAAUCUCUAUUUUACCCUUCAAGGACUCCGAUAUGGCCCCACCGGAGAUACCAGUCUUCACGAGAACUGAGAAGUUCUCUACAACGAAAAAACCAUUUACCCAGGGGGGAGCGGGCCUACGUGCUUUUCUAGGCCGGAAAUGGCGAUUUACUUGAAGGGGGGUGGUGGGAUGGCUAAGGGCUUGCGCAAGUAGAGUGGCGUACCCUCUUGUGGUGGCGAUCUUGCCUGAUUGCCUGAGGAGCACCGCGAGAUAUUGAGGUCUCAGGGCUGCAUUGGUGGAGAGAUUGAGCCCAUUUAACCCACCGCCAGAACCAAGUUCAAUGUGCCCAUUGCCUAUUAUGUGGGAUCAACUACUCCAAACUACGUAUAUGGAAUGUAAGUUAUUCAAUACUUAGUACUAUAAAACUUGUUAAACAUAAGCUAGCUUUUUGACUCACUUCAUUUGGUCUUGUUUUUCUAAAGCCUAGGUUCCUAUUGCCCCCUCUCCAUAUUCAUUCUCCCAAAAAGCAUAUAUUAGUGAAUACGCGGGUGGUGUGUAUCCAUCCAAUAUAGGAGUCACGUGGUCCUUUUGUUUAUGUUAUUCCCCAAAUAGUUGCAUGUUCCUCUAUUAUUGGUCAGGCGACAUAACGUGAAGUUGUGUUUCUGGCUCGCAUAAAGUCAAUGUUAGUUAUUUAUAGCUAAUGAAAUUCCAUCUUAUGUGGACAAAAACCAAGCAUCACGCGAGCCGGGUACUGGGGAGAAUGUUGUAGAAACCGACACGUAAUGAUGAAACUAAUAUUUGUGAACUGAUGUGUGAUAGAAAUAGAGUUUGGAAUAGGAAGAAUUGGAUUUGUAAGUAAUAAAUGUAAAGCUUUUGAUCUUAAUCGAACUACAAGAAUAUAAUAUCGCAAGUGUCUUUGUCUUUUGUCCUAAUACACUCGCAACCACGUAAACAUUGUUAGUGUAGCAUUUCUCAAAGAACUUUUAACAUGGUACUAUGUUUCAUGGGUAUGUACACUUAACAGUUGGAGUACGACAAGAUGGUAUACCUGGACGCGGACAUCCAAGUGUACGAAAACAUCGCCACCUCCUGACGCGCCAGACGGCUACUUAUACGCGGGUGAUGAAGCUUCUGCGAGAAGACUUGGAGCCACUCGCCUCAGUACUCUGUAGGCUACUGCCAACCUAGUGCCCUACAAGUCGCGUGGCCCGCCGAGAUGGGCUCGCCUCCGCCCACUCACUUCAUGCCGCAGGUUUGUGUUCGAGCCGAGCAAAAUUGACCUAUGAGAGCCUCUUCGAGACCUCCAGAUCACUGCUCCAACCCCUUUGCUGAGCAAGUAAGGUGUUUUUUUAGAGACUUUCACAGUGAGUUAUAAAUGUAAAUAUCCAUAAACGGCAUGGGAGUAUGUAAAAUUAUAUAUAUAUAUAUAUUCGGACAAUGUUCAUUAGCAAAAACAGUAAAAUAAUACUUAGCCCUUUGGUAUGUAUUUUGGCAAAUGAUUUUUAUGCUUGCUUUUUUCUAGCAAAACACUUAAUAAGUUGUAUUGUUACAAUUCAACUUUUAGAGUAAACAACCUAAACUACCCUUUUAGGAGGGUAAAAAAAAAAAAUGUAAAGGUAUGAGGACAGAAUUAAAUUAAGUAAUUGCCCCCCCCCCCCCAAAAUGUUGAUGACUUUAAUCGUUAAUUUUGAAGUAAUAGAAACAAUUAGUGAAAUGGUUAAAAGUGGAAGUAAAAAUUAUCCCCGUAUCUUUUUUAAGCGAUAAAAUUAAUGCAUUACAAUUCUAUUAAAGGCACUUACUUUCUAUGCUUUUAGUUUUAUGUGUACAUCAAAUUUAAAAAGACUGUGCCACUCUAUCACUGGAGAGAAGCUAAUCUAUGGGCUAUAAUUAAUACCAUAAGGCAUGCAUGCAUAUACAAACUAGGGCUGUCCAAAAACCGACCGACCGACCUAAAAAAAGCUUAGGGUGAGGUUUAAUAGCGGUCGGGUGGUCGGUCGGGUUAAAAAAAUAAACCCGAAAAAAGUCGGGUCGGUGGAGGUGAAGUGAAAGUUUUAAUCGGUGACCGACCCGAUUCACAGAAAAGUAAUAUAAUUCUUUAUUUUUUUCAAAUUUAUGUAAUGCUUCAUAAUAUUUUUUCUAUUAUUUUGUUGAAAAUGGAUCAUUGUCCCUAUAUAUUUUUACUUUUCACUCGUCGCCAUCAAUGUCUCAAUUUGUCCUCGCCGUCUCUCUAUAAAUUAUGUACAUAAUGUCUCAAUUUACUUUCCAACCGACCCGCCCACCACCCGACCCGAUCUCACCCGAAACGACUUGAUAUUUGGUAGGGUUCAGGUGAGUUUUUUCCAACCCAAUUUUUAUCGGGUUCGGGUCAUACCCGACCCGACCCCGAACAAACCCGACCCAUGAAAAUCCUUAUAUACAACUGUUUGAAAGGAACAAAUUUAAUAGAAUAAGGAAAAAGUGAAAAGUUUUUUUUUCGAUAACUCGGUGUUAUAUUUGGA
rnacentral:lncRNA from 1 species